UCCCUGGUGGCUCAGAUGGUAAAGCGUCUGCCUGCAAUACGGGAGACCCAGGUUCGAUCCCUGGGUUGGGAA
rfam:Ovis aries breed Texel chromosome 1, whole genome shotgun sequence.